AAAUCCUCAGUAAGAAGUUUCGUCAAAAACAUUGAGAGAACAGGUAUUGCCAUCAAAUUGAACAAGCGGAAUGGUGACAGUUCAAAUUUGAUCUUCGGAAGGGACACAAAAGCCCAUGAAACAGCUCCCACCCAAGGCUCGGAUGGUAUCAACCGCACUUUGACCCACAGUUCACCAUCCCAUCAAUGUCAAAAUCUCGAACACCAACUGGGACAACAAUGGGGAUAAUUCCAAAUUUUAGUGAAAGCAUUAGCAGCAUGCGAGCACCACCAGUAUACCGGAGGCCUAUUUGAUACUGCAAAUCGUUGACACGGCGUGAUGUUCUGCGCUCAACGUUCCUGACAGACAAUGGCUCCUCUCCCCAAGAGAAAUGCCUAAUUUUAACUCUCUCCACAUAAUCAGGCUUCUUCAGAUCAUCAAUGACAGGCUGCAACAACCCAAAAAUCCAAUUCUCAAUCCCGGGUCUAUACACCUUCCACAAUUUGCCUAACACCAUAUUCACCCACUCCACCGACUCCUUCCUCUGCAAAUCCUUCUCCAAGAAUAA
rnacentral:misc_RNA from 1 species